rnacentral:rRNA from 1 species
GUCUACGGCCACACCAUCCUGAACACGCCCGAUCUCCUCUGAUCUCGGAAGCUAAGCAGGGUCGGGCCUGGUUAGUACUUGGGUGGGAGAAGCAAUAACUGGAGAUA